rnacentral:rRNA from 1 species
UUCCGGUUGAUCCUGCCGGACCCGACUGCUAUUGGGGUGAGGCUAAGCCAUGCGAGUCAGCGCUUCUAACCAUGAUGAGGCGCGGCAUACGGCUCAGUAACAUGUGGUCAAUCUACCCUCAGGACGGGGACACCCUCGGGAAACUGAGGCUGAUCCCGGAUAGAUAAUGGAUCCUGGAAUGGUUCUUUAUCCAAACGAUACGGGACUCAUGUGUUUCGUGUCGCCUGAGGAUGAGACCGCACCCUAUCAGGUAGUUGGUGGGGUAACGGCCCACCAAGCCUAUAACGGGUACGGGCCCUGAGAGGGGGAGCCCGGAGAUGGGUACUGAGACAAGGACCCAGGCCCUACGGGGCGCAGCAGGCGCGAGACCUCUGCAAUGCGCGAAAGCGCGACAGGGCCACCCCGAGUGCUAGACGCUGAGUCUAGCUUUUCCUUAGUGUAGUAAGCUA